GGUUUCGUCAUAGAAUUGAGCUCAAUCUUGAAAGGCCCAUAUGUUCUUCGCGAAUCGGACACCGAUUCCUGAGUUUGUUCUCAUCUUCUACCUCCGACACCAGAAUUCUUCUCCAUUUUCAGACAAAAUCAAUGGAGUUUUGAGAUCCAUAGCCUUUACCAUCUUCUCAACUCCAAAGACCGACUGAAGCAUGAUCUGAAAUUGAAUGCGAGUUUAUCCUUUCAAGGCGGUGUAUCUACACCUAUAUAAAUGUUAGCAUCCUUCCCUUAUCAUCAUCCUCUUAUGCGAGUUUUCUUCAACGACGUCUUUUCCGGAGUAAGCGAGGAUAAGAUGAUAAAUCAUCUCUUUCGUCUGACCCGUCAAACAGGCGAACAGAAACUGAAGAAAGAUUCCGUCGUCUCAAGUGUAAUGCGGCUACUACGUUACAAAUAUUUGGUUGUUGUAACUGACGCUAUUCUGACGAACCCUAUUCCAAAUCUGCCCUCCAGGAUGUAAAGCUGUGAUGAAUCUGAGCCGCCAGAUGUAAGACUCGAGAGGGUGGGAGUGAGGGGGAUGUUGCUUCACGGUGGUAGUUAUGAAAGUUGUUGCAGGCAGCCAAAGAUUGAAGAAGGAGAAGGCAGUGAGACGGUAACUGACGAAUCAAAACCAUUGAUUCGAUCGAGUGGAGGCAGAGCGUCUAAGGUGAUGCAUCAUCGAGAUAAAUCUUAUGAAUCUUAGAGAGUUUCAGAGGAACAAAUUUAAGAUGAUAAAGGCAAGGAUGAUGAUAAGCAGUCAAGGCAAGCCAAAUCUAGCUAAAUUCUACGCUGGAGAAGCAAUAAGCGACAUACUUUCAGUUUCCUUGAGCGACUACAAACGUGGUACGCAUGGAGUUCUGAUUCUAAUUCCAGUUCAUGUGAACUUAGCGGAGGAGAAGCUGAUGCUCUGGGACAGUGACACAUGGCAAGAGAGUUGAGGAGAGGUUUGUUCAACUCGCUCCUUUGAGUUGGCUCGGUGAUCGAGACAGUCGCACCAGAGACAUUUGAGGUUAUGUCCGUCAUCCACAUCCUCUUCCCAACUCAUAUCUUCGUCGCCGAUAGCACAAAUCCAUAACCGCUCUUUGACAUGGAAAACUAUUGUUCAGUGGCCACAAACCAAAGCCCUGGCAAGGGGAAUAGUCCUCAUUACAAACAAAGGUCAAUUGUAUUUUCGUUUUUUCAUACACGUUCAAACUUUCUCUUUAUACAUACAACUCUAUGUCUAAAUGUAGAAGAUUCUGAGAUAGCAAAGGAACAUGGGAUUUGAGGGGUCAAGAGCUGCAAAUAUGCCAGUGAUAGCCACAAAGUACAGCCAUGUGAUGAAAAUGGCCAAGCUACAGGGCGUCUGUAGAUUUAUUUGAAGAAAAAGAGGAAGAGACGGAUGAGAUGAGAGUGGACAGGAGAAGUGUCUGAGACUCUUACGAUCCUAAAAGCACAUAAAGUAUGUGUCUUGCUUUCUUUUCUCUUUACUCUAUGGUUUUUUGCUAUUCUUGCGAAUAGGGCUUUAGGUCUACUGUUAGUGUUAAUUGAAGGUUUUCUUUUCGAUUCCCAGUAUUGAUGGACUGAUGGAAACACUCAGUGAGUAUGACAGCAAUAAUAUAGUCAUCAGCAGUUCAGUUUUAUGUACUUUGAUUGACUUUCCAUUCAAUGAUCCUGUAAACUUAGGUUUUAGCUAAAGUCUUAUUUUUCUUACGUGAUGUUUAAUCAAAAAGAUUGAGAAUGAGGCUGUUCAAAAAUUAUAAAAUCGGUUUACAUCACAAUCAGAGCUUUACUAGAGAACUCACGCGUUAAGCGUGUUCGCUUCAGGUAUAAAAAACUUUACUCUAUAUCUUGCUAAAAAACCUUUAUAAAUAAACACUUGACAAACCAUGACUUUCUCUUAAGGUAUUGUUUUGCAGGAAUGAGCUUAGAUAUUGGACUAAUAGUUUUGGUCUUCAAUGUUCCUUUUUUAAACUAGUGAAAAGUUCAUUACUGAACCACCAUUAAAUAAACCAGCUGGGAAACAUAUACUUUUGCGGAAAAGAUAUAGUGUCUUCUUGAUUGCAUCUUCAUUCUUCUCAGCUCUCACAUAUUGAGCUCUCACAUAUUGAUCUUCUUAGCCACAAGGGUUAACAAUCAUCAUGGUGGUUUUCUAAUUAGCAGAGUCUACUUUUUUUUCCUUUCGUGUGUAAAAACAAUCUCUUCCUUCUGCAUUCAUUUUAGUACUCGA